AGGGAGUUGUCUCCUCCUCCUCUGAACCUGAGGAGGUUGUACAGUGAGACUCUGGAGAUUGAACCUGUCCUCAUCAUCAUCUCCCCUGGAGCAGAUCCCUCCCAGGAGCUACUGGAGCUGGCCUCAGAGACUGUAGGACGGGACAACUACCACGAGGUGGCAAUGGGCCAGGGCCAGGCUGAUGUGGCCUUAGCCACUCUGAGAGAGUGUUCCCACAGCGGAGGCUGGCUCUGCCUUAAAAACCUUCACCUGGUGACUGCGUGGCUGCCCCUGCUAGAGAAGGAGCUGAAUGUUCUGCAACCUAAGGCAGGCUUCCGUCUCUGGCUCACUGCUGAGGUCCAUC